CCUACGGGCGGCAGCAGUGGGGAAUAUUGGACAAUGGGGGGAACCCUGAUCCAGCCAUGCCGCGUGUGUGAAGAAGGCCCUCGGGUUGUAAAGCACUUUCAGUGAGGAAGAACGCCUGGUGGUUAAUACCCAUCAGGAAAGACAUCACUCACAGAAGAAGCACCGGCUAACUCCGUGCCAGCAGCCGCGGUAAUACGGAGGGUGCGAGCGUUAAUCGGAAUUACUGGGCGUAAAGCGCGCGUAGGUGGCUUGAUAAGCCGGUUGUGAAAGCCCCGGGCUCAACCUGGGAACGGCAUCCGGAACUGUCAAGCUAGAGUGCAGGAGAGGAAGGUAGAAUUCCCGGUGUAGCGGUGAAAUGCGUAGAGAUCGGGAGGAAUUCCAGUGGCGAAGGCGGCCUUCUGGACUGACACUGACACUGAGGUGCGAAAGCGUGGGUAGCAAACAGGAUUAGAUACCCUUGUAGUC
rnacentral:rRNA from 1 species